rnacentral:rRNA from 1 species
CCUAGUAACGGCGAGUGAAGAGGAAAGAGCUCAAAGUUGGAACCUGUUUGGCUUAGCUAAACCGGAUUGUAAACUGUAGAAGUGUUUUCCAGACACGCCUGGUAAAAAAGUCCUUUGGAACAGGGCAUCAUAGAGGGUGAGAAUCCCGUCAUUGGCCAGAGCUGUUGUCUUUUGUGAUACAUUUUCAAAGAGUCAGGUUGUUUGGGAAUGCAGCCUAAAUUGGGUGGUAAAUCUCACCUAAAGCUAAAUAUUUGCGAGAGACCGAUAGCGAACAAGUACCGUGAGGGAAAGAUGAAAAGAACUUUGAAAAGAGAGUUAAACAGUAUGUGAAAUUGUUAAAAGGGAACCGUUUGGAGCCAGACUGGCUUAAUCGUAAUCACUCUAGGCUUUGGCCUGGAUGCACUUGCGGUUUAUGCCGGCCAACGACAGUUUUGUUUGAGGGAAAAAAUUACAUUGAAUGUGGCCCCUCGGGGUGUUAUAGCUUUGUAAAAAAUACCUUGGACGGGACUGAGGAACGCAGCGAAUGCCUUUAGGCGAGAUUGCUGGGUGCUUGCGCUGAUAUAUGCUAGAAUUUCUGCUUCGGGUGGUGCUAGUGUGUAAAGGAGUAACCCGCCUAGUAUAUUUUUUAUUCGCUUAGGUUGUUGGCUUAAUGACUCUAAAUGACCCGUCUUGAAACACGGACCAAGGAGUCCACCAUUAGUGCGAGUAUUUGGGUGACAAACCCAUAUGCGCAAGGAAACUGAUUGAUACGAAGGCGCAAGCUGGCAGUAUCACCCGGCGUUGACGUUUUAUACUGAACUGACCGAGGUAAAGCACUAAUGAUGGGACCCGAAAGAUGGUGAACUAUGCCUGAAUAGGGUGAAGCCGGAGGAAACUCCGGUGGAGGCUCGUAGCGAUUCUGACGUGCAAAUCGAUCGUCAAAUUUGGGUAUAGGGGCGAAAGACUAAUCGAACCAUCUAGUAGCUGGUUCCUGCCGAAGUUUCCCUCAGGAUAGCAGAAACUUAUACGCAGUUUUAUGAGGUAAAGCGAAUGAUUAGAGGCCUUGGGGACGAAAUGUCCUUAACCUAUUCUCAAACUUUAAAUAUGUAAGACGACCUGUUUGCUUAAUUGAAGCAGGUCAUUGAAUGCAGAGUUUCUAGUGGGCCAUUUUUGGUAAGCAGAACUGGCGAUGCGGGAUGAACCGAACGGAAAGUUAAGGUGCCGGAAUACACGCUCAUCAGACACCACAAAAGGUGUUAGUUCAUCUAGACAGCAGGACGGUGGCCAUGGAAGUCGGAAUCCGCUAAGGAGUGUGUAACAACUCACCUGCCGAAUGAACUAGCCCUGAAAAUGGAUGGCGCUUAAGCGUGUUACCCAUACUUUCCCGUUAUUGUAAAAGCGAAGCAAUAACGAGUAGGCAGGCGUGGAGGUUUUUAUAAACUGUUAAG